UAACUCAUGUUUUUAAUCAAUUUUUUGUUCUCUUAAAGAAAUUUCUCUUUGUCCAACUCCAAUUCCAGCAGUUCAAGCAGGUUUGCAAGGCUUCAAGGGAUCCAUUGCUCGUUGGUAGGGUGAAAACUCUGCAUGAGAUUCAGCUACAGCACUAGAGACGCCAUGGGGAUGAACAUGAUGGUCUCUAAGGGAGUAUAGAAUGUCUUGGAUUAUCUUCAAAGUGACUUCCCGGACAUGGACACAAUCAGCAUGUCUGGAAUUGGGAUGGGAUGUCAAAAUUUGGAACUUUGGAGCUUGCUAGUGGUUUGGGUGGGAACAUCAAGAAGCAGGAAGUUCAAUCUGUUGUACAACAGCUGUAAAUUGGACGACAUGAUGAGGAUCUAGGAUUGACUGUGAUAUGAAAGCAGUGCGAGAGGGGGUUUUCUCCGUUGAAUGGCGGAGCAAUGGGCGGUCGGGAAACCCGAAAGCCGGCAGUCGCCGCUGUCCUUCUCCUUCUCGAUGUGAUCUUGGUCUCUCUGAUCAUCAUCUACGUGCCUUAUACAAAGAUAGAUUGGGAUGCGUGCAUGUCUCAGGUGGAUGGGUUUCUUGGAGGAGAGAGGGAUUAUACGAAGCUGAAAGGGGAUACAGAGCCUUUGGUUUAUCUGUCUCUGUUUUUUUAUGCUUAUUUUGUCAUCCAAUUUGUGACUGGUAGGCAGGUAUAUCCUGCUCAUAAAUUUUAACGAAGCUAUUACUGCUGUAGAAGACACCUUACUAGUGUGUGGUCAACCAGACAACACAAGCUCAGAAAAAUAAAUCUAGAUUCUUUGACCAAGACUGCUCCAGGUUAUUCUGGGGGAGAAAAUUGCUCCGAAAUCAAGUUUUCCUAAUGGAUUUUGAGGUCCAAUAUAUGCCCUCUCUUUAACUUUCACCAUCAUAUAUGCCAUUCAAUUUGUUCGUGUGGGAAUAAUUGAAGAUUGCUUACUUAUCUUGUGACUGUGACUUGAUUAUGUGUGAAUUCCAUAAGACGAUGUACGCACAGAUUUAACUUGGUCUUUUAUUCAAGUCAUCAACUAGAUGAUUUUUGGUUGGAAAUUUGAGUAU